CCGGAAUUCCUGAAAAACACCCUCAUGGGUGCACCAGCACUCCACCUACACCCGGAACCCCUCUGCUGUCGGGGUGUGGAAGUUGGAUUUGAAUAUUUGGUGCUGGCUGAGAAUUCCAAGUUGUCUAGUAAAGUUUGACAUUAAAUAGAUCUUCUGACCUGUUAUAUACAGCCUCAAAAGCUUCCAAGUGAUCUGCAUCAACCAGAGAUAAUUGUCUGAAACAAAACAAAAUAAUGAAGAGGUAUAUUCAGGCUAUUAUAAUUCGCAGAGAGCAAUCACAAGGCCUUUUCUUGAAAAGAGGUGCAGUAAAUUGAUCUAUAUCAAAACAGCAAAGCCCCAGGAGCACAAAAAGAACUAGAUUUCAGGAAUGGCAUGAAGAGUUCUGUUUAUCAAACAUUUCUUGUGUCCCUACAGUGUGUCUAAUACUCUAUGAAGUGGAAUAUAUAUAAAAGUUACCACACCAUCUCCUUUCAAAAGGGGGCAAGAGUCUACAAUAAAAUUCCUUUGUUUGAUUUCCUCUGUUCCUGA